GUCGGGCAAGAUGUCGGCCGAACAGCUCGCCGCCGCCUAAUCCGGUUCGUCAUUGGCGGCGACCACGGAUGUACUGGCCCGCCGACAGACGAACAUCCGAAAGGCCAGGCAAUGCCUGGCCUUUUCCAUU
rnacentral:sRNA from 1 species